AAUAUUAAUAGUGUAAAAAUAUUCAAGUGUUCGGUAAACAGGAAGUUGUCAAGUGAUGAAUCUGAAAACGCAUCACACGGUAUAGUUGACUUAUAUAAAUCCUGAAACCAAAUUUCAGAAAUCCUUGUAUUGUAGUUCCUGAGAAAAAUGUGACGAAAAUUUUCAACUUGGCUAUCAUGUGUAAAAUCAUACAAGUGUUCGGUAAACAGGAAGUUGUCGAGUGAUGAAUCUGAAAACGCAUCACACGGUAUGGCUGACAUAUAUAAAUGUUGAUACCAAAUUACAGAAAGGAUGGAUGUGUAGUUCCUGAGAAAAAUGUGACGAAAGUUUCAUGGGACGGACUGACUGACGGACGGACUGACGGACAGACAGAGGUAAAACAG
rnacentral:lncRNA from 1 species